GACGUAGGGUGCGAGCGUUGUCCGGAGUUACUGGGCGUAAAGGGCGCGUAGGCGGCGUACCGCGUCGCACGUGAAAGCCCCCGGCUCAGCCGGGGAGGGUCGUGCGAGACGGGUAGGCUGGAGGCAGGGAGAGGCUGGUGGAAUUCCCGGAGUAGUGGUGAAAUGCGUAGAGAUCGGGAGGAACACCGGUGGCGAAGGCGGCCAGCUGGCCCUGACCUGACGCUGAGGCGCGAAGGCGUGGGGAGCGAACGGG
rnacentral:rRNA from 1 species